UUUUGUUUUCUUCAUUUUUCUUCAGCACUUGGAACAGUGCCAGGCACACAGUGGACAUUCAGGGAAUAUCUGUGGACAGAUGAAUUGUUGUCAUCACAGUUUAUAGUUCUGUUUAUUUGUUUACCUGGUUAUUACCGGGGCCCGUGACUGCUGGGCUUACUCUUAUCAUUAUGCUUGCACUAGCUCCAUGCCUGGAUUCCUACUAGGCAUCCCAGGAAUAGCCUUUGGAUGGAUGAGCUAAGUAAGCCCCACAGUCAAGGGUAGGCUGGGCAUGGCUGCUCAUUGUGGUGGGAAGUUCUUUCCCUGAAGACCAAGGUCAUUUUUUAAAAAAUUCUGGGUCUCUGCUGGGAGAGGUGGGAGAAGGAGUCCCGGGCCCUAACCUUGUAUUACUUCUCUGCAUUCUGAUUACAGCUCAGAAGAGGAGGUUUUAGAAUCCAUGUGGCUAGAGAGGAAAAUAAUGGUGGGUUUUCUAAAAACAAGAAUGAUCUCGGAGGCUGGGCGCGGUGGCUCACGCC